rnacentral:tRNA from 1 species
CCGUAGCAAAGCCUGGUUAUAGCGUCGGUCUUAUAAACCGAAUGUCGUGGGAUCGAAUCCCACCUGGACCA